CCUACGGGUGGCUGCAGUGGGGAAUAUUGGACAAUGGGGGCAACCCUGAUCCAGCCAUGCCGCGUGUGUGAAGAAGGCCCUCGGGUUGUAAAGCACUUUCAGUGAGGAAGAACGCCUGGUGGUUAAUACCCAUCAGGAAAGACAUCACCCACAGAAGAAGCACCGGCUAACUCCGUGCCAGCAGCCGCGGUAAUACGGAGGGUGCGAGCGUUAAUCGGAAUUACUGGGCGUAAAGCGCGCGUAGGUGGCUUGAUAAGCCGGUUGUGAAAGCCCCGGGCUCAACCUGGGAACGGCAUCCGGAACUGUCAAGCUAGAGUGCAGGAGAGGAAGGUAGAAUUCCCGGUGUAGCGGUGAAAUGCGUAGAGAUCGGGAGGAAUACCAGUGGCGAAGGCGGCCUACUGGACUGACACUGACACUGAGGUGCGAAAGCGUGGGUAGCAAACAGGAUUAGAUACCCUUGUAGUC
rnacentral:rRNA from 1 species